UUGAACGCUCCUGCUAUUAGUUGAAGCCGUUCUGACUUUUAAAUUGGGGAUACACGAAACCCUAAUUCGAUGGCGAUCCAGUUCUAUUCUUUUUCUCUGGAGCGGGAUCUCCCCUUUGCAACCAACGUAACUUUGUGGAUAUCGAAAUUCUUACAAUUUUCUUUUAUUGUACAUUUCCCGUCUGAUCGCACUUGGCAGAAAAGAAGAUGCGGUGGCGGUAGAGAAAACAAGGAGAAUGAGUAGGAGUUUAUGAAAAUUAGAGUUCAUGGUUGAAUUGAAGAAAAGGUGUGGAUUUAAGUUUUAAGGGGGUAGUGAGAGAGGAGAGGAGAGAAGAGGAGAGGAUGAUAUUUUUGGGAGUUGGAAGGUGGAAGAGAGCAUAUAUGCCUAAUAAUAUAAAUAGUUAAAUACAUGCAAACCGCACUCAACUAUCCUUAUCUCAUCACUCUUCAUUUUUUCAUUUUUUUUCUACAGUUUAUACUUUAUAAUGACUGUCAAAUUUUGGGCAUAUUAUGAUAGACGAAAUAUGAUGUCAAUGUACAAGAAAGAUGCAGUGUAUAUGUGUGUUGAAUUUUGGUCAUGGCAGAAUUUGCCAGAAAAAAAUUAGGUAUGAUUGUAAAAUCGUUAAGAGUGCUGAUGUAUUUGAAAUGAUUGAUUUACCAUAUUUGUGGCUUAUGAUCUUAUUA